GAUUUCUGGUUUGGCGUACUUGGCCCGUCCCGGUCUUCGGGAUUGUGUGCCGGUGUGCGCCUUCCAUCCUUCGAGAAAACCUUUCUACCCUUCACGGGGCCGGGAAGGCUAUCUCGAUCUUUUACUUUGAAAAAAUUAGAGUGUUUAAAGCAGGCUUGCGCUAUGAAUACAUUAGCAUGGAAUAAUAAUUUAGGACUUUUGGCCUAUUUUGUUGGUUUCUAGGACAAGAGUAAUGAUUGAUAGGGACAGUUGGGGGUGCUAGUAUUCAGCGGCCAGAGGUGAAAUUCUUGGAUUCGCUGAAGACUAACUUAUGCGAAAGCAUU
rnacentral:rRNA from 1 species